GACGAACGCUGGCGGCGUGCUUAACACAUGCAAGUCGUACGGUAAGGCCCUUUCGGGGGUACACGAGUGGCGAACGGGUGAGUAACACGUGAGUAACCUGCCCACAACUUUGGGAUAACGCUAGGAAACUGGUGCUAAUACUGGAUAUGUGCUCCUGCUGCAUGGUGGGGGUUGGAAAGCUCCGGCGGUUGUGGAUGGACUCGCGGCCUAUCAGCUUGUUGGUGGGGUAGUGGCCUACCAAGGCGGCGACGGGUAGCCGGCCUGAGGGGGUGACCGGCCACAUUGGGACUGAGAUACGGCCCAGACUCCUACGGGAGGCAGCAGUGGGGAAUAUUGCACAAUGGGCGCAAGCCUGAUGCAGCAGCGCCGCGUGCGGGAUGACGGCCUUCGGGGUGUAAACCGCUUUCAGCAGGGACGAAGCUUUUUGUGACGGUACCUGCAGAAGAAGCACCGGCUAACUACGUG
rnacentral:rRNA from 1 species